UACGUAGGGGGCAAGCGUUGUCCGGAAUCAUUGGGCGUAAAGAGCGUGUAGGCGGUCCGGUAAGUCGGCUGUGAAAGUCCAGAGCUCAACCCUGGGAUGCCGGUCGAUACUGCCGGACUAGAGUUCGGAAGAGGCGAGUGGAAUUCCCGGUGUAGCGGUGAAAUGCGCAGAUAUCGGGAAGAACACCAAUGGCGAAAGCAGCUCUCUGGGACGGUACUGACGCUGAGACGCGAAAGCGUGGGGAGCGAACGAGG
rnacentral:rRNA from 1 species